GAUGAACGCUGGCGGCGUGCCUAAUACAUGCAAGUCGAGCGAACGGACGAGAAGCUUGCUUCUCUGAUGUUAGCGGCGGACGGGUGAGUAACACGUGGAUAACCUACCUAUAAGACUGGGAUAACUUCGGGAAACCGGAGCUAAUACCGGAUGAUAUUUUGAACCGCAUGGUUCAAAAGUGAAAGACGGUUUUGCUGUCACUUAUAGAUGGAUCCGCGCUGCAUUAGCUAGUUGGUAAGGUAACGGCUUACCAAGGCAACGAUGCAUAGCCGACCUGAGAGGGUGAUCGGCCACACUGGAACUGAGACACGGUCCAGACUCCUACGGGAGGCAGCAGUAGGGAAUCUUCCGCAAUGGGCGAAAGCCUGACGGAGCAACGCCGCGUGAGUGAUGAAGGUCUUCGGAUCGUAAAACUCUGUUAUUAGGGAAGAACAUAUGUGUAAGUAACUGUGCACGUCUUGACGGUACCUAAUCAGAAAGCCACGGCUAACUACGUG
rnacentral:rRNA from 1 species